rnacentral:lncRNA from 1 species
UGAGCCAUUGAUGGCGGUUCCACCAGGCCUAAUCGCCACACACCAGCAAAGGCAGGCUAUGCUAUAGUACAAGCCACAAGCCUGCCUCUUAAAACCUCUCAUUUUCUUUCCAUCAUGGAAAUCUAUCCUCAAGGAAAUAACCUCUCAGUGUUCCAUCUGCUAUUCUACUACUCCUCAGGGAUUAUUCAGGCCCCCUCCCUUCCCUACACAUCAAGCUCGAAGAUUUGCCCCCACCCAGGACUGGCAAAUUAGCUUUACUCAACAUGCCCCGAGUCAGAUAACUAAAAUACCUCUUAGUCUAGGUAGACACUUUCACUGGAUAAGUAGAGGCCUUUCCUACAGGGUCUGAGAAGGCCACCGCAGUCAUUUCUUCCCUUCUGUCAGACAUAAUUCCUCAGGUUAGCCUUCCUACCUCUAUACAGUCUGAUAACAGACCAGCCUUUAUUAGUCAAAUCAGC